GCGGAUGGGCCGGCCCGAAAAGACCGGGCCCAUCCCCCUUAUCACGAUCGUGCCUAGGGCACGAUCGUGGAAGAAGGGGAAACGCAGAGAGAGGGGGGCGGCGGCAUUAGACGGGAUCAAUCGCCGGAGGAGGCAGAUCGUCGGGGGAGGCGACUCGCCGGAGGGGAUCGAGCGCCGGAGAGGGAGAUCCGGCCGGCCGCGGAGGGGGGGAAAGCCUUCCUCUUUCCUUCGGUGAAGACCCUCCAUUUCUCCGCCGAUUUCUCGCCGGAAAGGCCGCCGGAGCACCCAUCGGACCGAGGGGAGGAGACAGUGGUGCCAGGAGAUUUUGAUCAGGGGACUCAGCACCCCAGCGAGUAGGUUUGUGACUCGGAUCCGUGUUUGAGUCAGUCGACAAUCUUAGUAAGAAUCCCUACAUCUGAGCACUUCUAUGCAUAUAUUGACAUUUUGGUUGGAUUUAUUUUACGGUUGUGUUGUUAUUGCUUGUGAGCUGAUAUGACACAUAUGAGAUGAAUGUUUAUCAACAUAUUUUCAUUAUUA